GGCGAUCAGAUACCGCCCUAGUUCUGACCGUAAACGAUGCCAACUAGCGAUCCGCCGGCGGAUUCAUUCGCCCUGGUGGGGAGCUUCCCGGAAACGAAAGUCUUCCGGUUCCGGGGGAAGUAUGGUUGCAAAGCUGAAACUUAAAGGAAUUGACGGAAGGGCACCACCAGGAGUGGAGCCUGCGGCUUAAUUUGACUCAACACGGGGAAACUCACCCGGCCCGGACACCGUAAGGAUUGACAGAUUGAUAGCUUUUUCAUGAUUCGGUGGAUGGUGGUGCAUGGCCGUUCUUAGUUCGUGGAGCGAUUUGUCUGGUUUAUUCCGAUAACUAGCGAGACUCUGGCCUACUAAAUAGUUGGCACAUUGCCACUGUGUGCACAACUUCUUAGAGGGAUUUUCGGUGUUCAGCCGCACGAAAUUGAGCAAUAACAGGUCUGUGAUGCCCUUAGAUGUCCGGGGCUGCACGCGCGCUACACUGGCAAAAUCAGCGUGCUUGUCCUCCCCCGAAAGGGGUUGGUAAACCGAUGAAAAUUUGCCGUGAUUGGGAUCGGACAUUGCAAUUAUUGUCCGUGAACGAGGAAUCCCUUGUAAGGGCGAGUCAUCAACUCGUCCUGAAUACGUCCCUGCCCUUUGUA
rnacentral:rRNA from 1 species